rnacentral:rRNA from 1 species
UACGAAGGGUGCAAACGUUGCUCGGAAUUAUUGGGCGUAAAGCGCACGUAGGCGGCUUUGCAAGUCGGAUGUGAAAUCCCCAGGCUCAACCUGGGAACUGCAUCCGAUACUGGAUGGCUUGAAUCGGGAGAGGGAUGCAGAAUUCCAGGUGUAGCGGUGAAAUGCGUAGAUAUCUGGAGGAAUACCGGUGGCGAAGGCGG